rnacentral:rRNA from 1 species
UGAGUAAUCUGCCCUCCACUUCGGGAUAAGCGCCGGAAACGGCGUCUAAUACCGAAUACGACGCACUCUCGCAUGAGAUACGCGUGGAAAGUUUUAUCGGUGGAGGAUGUGCUCGCGGCCUAUCAGCUUGUUGGUGAGGUAACGCUCACCAAGGCUUCGACGGGUAGCCGGCCUGAGAGGGUGACCCGGCCACACGUGGGACUGAGACACGGCCCAGACCUCCGUACGGGGA